rnacentral:lncRNA from 1 species
CGCAUCUGAAGCAGGCUGCUGUCCCAGCCCGACAAACUCCCCUGUGUAGCCUACCACACUUUGCACAAACUGCAUUAUCCACGCCAGAGCUUGAGCCACUCCCUAGUCCCAGACUAGACUUGACCUUGUUCCAAAACUUGUUCUUCUUGGGCUUCCUAGUGGUGUUACUCCACUUUUUGCUACCUGAAGCUGCUGCACUGAAAGAAAAAGAGCCUGGGGUC